GAGAGAGAGAGAGAGAGAGAGAGAGAAAGAGAGAGAGAAAGAGAGAGAUGUUUUGUGUUCUGAAGUUUACACCAUCGAUCCUAAGACAGCUGUGCUGUGGGAAACCUGAGCUGGACCCCUCAGAUCAAGUUGAGAAGAAACCAGUGGCCUGGAAGGUGAGCCUGCCAAUGCGCUGCAAGUGGGUGAGUGAAUGUGAGCAGAGGGGAGAGAGAGGCAACUCACUCAAAGUUCAAAACCCCCGUGAUGGAAGAAGGGACUCACACUCAGGGGGCCUGGGCUAAGAGUUCUGAAAGCCAAGUUUCAAAGAUUCUUGAUUGAGUUUGGUGUUAUAAAAGCAGCCAAGCAAAAAGACAGAGAUUUCUCACAAUAGGUUCAUGGCUUGUUUUCUGCCAUUUCCAUUCCCUUUUCCAGGCUAGUGUUUUGGAACCAUCUCCCCAUCCAAGGAACACUUGCAAACUGUGAGCAGCUGAGAUGAGUUAGGGGUCGGAUAUAGGAUGGGAACCUCCUGUUUCCCCGUUCUUCCACCCCUGAUUUCCUCUCCUGAUGCCUCACAUCCCGGCACUGUCCCUGGCUUCAUCACCCCAGGCUCUACAAGGGAGAAGCCAGGAAGAGGACUUAGCUGCAGAGAAGGAGCAGAUGGGGUGCCAGACCAGCAGUGUCUAACCACUCACCUUCUGCCCCGGGCACAGGCACAGAUGUCAGGAUGACAGCACAUUCUGCCUGCCCCUCUAUGCAAAAUACUCUGCUUGACUUCAUGCUAUAAUUGUGCUGAUUCUAGAUAGGAAAGGCUGCAACACAGGAGGUCCAGGGAAACACUUCAGUAGGCACUGGUAUUAGGGCACCUCUGUUGAGGGCAUAACCCAUCCCUCGACUCCCACUAGCUGCUUCCAUUUGUACAGGGGAGGAGGCAAAGGCCCCUAGAAUGAGAGUAUUUUGCCUCAUUCUGGUAUGGAACAUUUUAAGAUUGCAUUUGCCUUAUAGGUGAUCAAUUUAAUGCAGCAUUGUAAAAGCCAGUACCCAGAGAAGACUUCCUGUGCCAGGCAUCAUGUCCGGUUCAUACAUGAACAGUGUGGCUUAAAUUUCUAUCCAAGAAGCUCAGGAUGGUUCUGUGGGUAAAAGGUCUGCUGCAUAAGUAUGAGGACCUAAAUCCCAUGGCCAGCACCCAGGUAAACAGGCAGGUGUGGUAUAGACACAUUUGUAAUACCAGCAGGCGUGGUGCCAUGCGCACUUUGAUCCCAGUGCUUGGGAAGUAGAAAGAGGAGUGUUGCUAGCUGGCCAGGUAACCUGUGGCUGGUAUCAGGUUCAGUGAGAAAUUCUGUCUCAAAAAUGAAUAAAUAAAUAAAUAAAUAAAUAAAUAAAUGAUGGACAACUACUUGGGAACAAUACCAGAGGUUGGCCUCUGGCCACCACACCCAGGUGUAUAAACGUGCACUUGUACACACAUGAACAUGUGCAUGCCCCUCCCCCACUACUGCAUUAUUGCAUGGUGUAUGUCCUAUUACUUCUAUUGGUGAACUAAGAAAACUGAGGCACACACAGAAUAAUAGCAGACGUAGGACUUAAAACCAGAUGAGAACAGGAAGACACUUGAAAAGGACAUAAAGGAGAAUUAAAGUGCUAUUUGAGUUAUGUUCCCCAAGAAAAGUUACUUCCUCCUGAGACUAGAAGAUCUCAAGGGCAGAACAGGAGGCUGAGGUACACAAGGUUAAGCUGUGCAACUGUCUAUCCCAAAGCAAUAAUGCUAAAUGCAUGGUUUUAUGAAGCAUAGCUUUUGAACAGAUACGAGCAGUGCAAACAAGGGAAAAUCAAGCCAUCAGCUACCCUCAUACAACAAGGCAAAAUCAGCAGCUUUGUGAUUCUUGCUUGUGAUUUCCAUGCAGGCAACACAGACACACAAAAUCUGGGGGAAGGGUCUACACACGUAUACACACACACACACACACACACACACACACACUGGGGGAAGGGUCUGCUCAGUAUCCAGGAAAAAAAAAAACAUGAACUAAUGAGUAACUCAUGAGUUAGAGCCAAAAUUGGACAACUAAGAAGCAACAGAGUUACGUCAGCAGCGUGGAGAAGAGAGGGCCUAUUCUCCCUAAGUCUGCUAGCGGGGCAGAACACUGCCAGUGAAUGAACAGAUCAACAAUGUUCUCUAGAGAACAAAAGGAAAUGUUUGCAAGGAAGGAGUAAAAGCUAAAAAUAGCUCGCCUGCUUACAGAUUUCCCAAAAGUCAGCCAUGCUGUGCCUGUGUGAACCCUUUGGGCAACAUCAUUUAAAUAUUUUUCACAUGAGGACAAAAAAAAAAAUCUACAAAAUUCAAAAGCUCAAUUUCCAGCAAACCAGUAAACUCCUAAGCCAAAGGAUACCAUAGUCAGCAUACACACGGAAAUGGGGACUUUGGCUUUGCAAUGUGAGGGGGCCUCCUGCGCAGGACUGUGGAGAGUGGCUGAACUAGCACUCACAACUGACUAUACCACUUCCCAGGUUUAGAGUCCUGGAGUGAUUCCCUACAUAGUUCUCAGCAUCAUCAGUUUGGGGAUGUUAAACAUAAUAAAAGCUAGCAAUGCUCAUCUAUCUUCCAGAUAAAACUAAGUGUGAAGCCAUACAACAACCCAAUGGGCAAAUCAGAGCACACUUCUUGCAGAAAAUGUUUGAUCAUGGGAGCCUAAAAAAAUAUGGUUAACUUCUGUUUCGAUGGGGAAUUUUGAAAGGAAGUUACUUUUCUUUCUUUUUUUGGUUUUACUUGUUUAAGAUUCAUUCUGUGCAUGUGGGUGUUUGCCUGUAUGUAUAUACACAGACAUGCAUGCCUGGUGUGCAUGGAGGCUGGUAGGCUUGGACCUCCUGGACCUGGAAGUACAGAUGGUUAUGGCUGCCAUAUAAAAACAAAAGUUCCACUUAACCUUGAUGCUGAGUCAGAGAGAGCUUGGCUCACCAUCCUAUGCCCGCCAGCCCAGCACAUGCCCAGGGGAUGCCCCGCUCAACGUCUGUGCACUGAGGUGUGAGAAGAAUGUGCGCUGUGGAGAACCUAACUGAGUUCAAAACUGCUUUUAACAUACAACCAACAAAGACAUCAGCAAGAAUGAAAACUGGUGAGAGGCAUUACUCUUCCUUCUGCAGAAGUUCAAAAGGCCAGAGAUUACAGAGAGCACAACCCACGAAGCAGGAACAGAUACUGGCAAUGCCUCUCCUGAUCGAUAUCUUGUAAAUUACCAACCUGGCAGUUGACACACAAAACACAGUGAAACUCAGGUCCCUAAUGACAACACGGUAAACAGUGAACUAGGACAUCCACAUGCCUGGAAACUGGAAGUUCCUGCACAGACAUUUAAAUAUCACCAUGACAAGCUCGUGAGCUCCUCUGGCCAUCCAACCUCCAGACUGUGGCAGUGUGGAAUCCAAACUAUGAGGUGUCAUAUCUUAGAUCCAAUCUACUGCAUAUGUAUGGCAAAUUCAGAAGUCAUUAGUGAACACAGAAGUUAUGGAUCUUAUUCAAUGGCCAUUCAUUUUAGAUGAAUACAAAAGGUCUCUAACUUAAAAGCAGCAAAUACACAGAUCUCUGUGUACAAAGGGUAGAAGGUAUUGGUCACUGGUUCUCAGCACAAAUAUCUCAACACUCUAUUCUGAGAGGACUACACAGAGGACAGACUCUGCACAGUCAUCCAAAGGACACAUUCUGCUCAUGAAUGGUUAGCCGAAGGUCUAAGAAGUAUAGGGAAUUGUUUGGUUUAAGAGAGACACACUAAGAGAGAUGGCACAGUGGUUAAGAGCACUGGGUUUCUGUCCAGAGGAACCAGGUUCAUUUUCUGGCACCCACAUGGUGGCUCACAGUCUUUAUCUGUAUAUGUCUAGUUCUAGGGAUCCAUCACCCUCUUCUGGCUUCCUUAGGGACCAUGCACACAAGUGAUAAGACAGGCAAAACAUAAAACAACCUAUAGAUCACUUCACUAGCAUCUGAGGCUGUGGCAGGAAGAUCAUGUGUUCAAGGCCAGUUGGGCUAUACAUUAUCAGAUUUUUUUUUUGUCUCAAAAGAUAAAACAGAAAAGAAAAAAACCCAGAAACCCCUUUUCUUUUCUGGCCUGGGGAGAUGGCUUAGUUGAAGUACUGGCUGCUGAAUAAGCAUGAGGACUUUAGCACCAACCCCAGAAUCUUCUUUUAAAAAACCCAGUAAACUGGUCGCCGCUUGCAGGUGGAUUCCUGGGGGUUGGUGGUUAGCCUGCUUACCCUAUCUAGUGAGCCCCAGGUCUCACUGAGAGACAGUCCCUGAAGAACAUCACACGCUGGCCUCUGGCCACCAUACACAUGAACACACGCAAGUAACAGUCAUUUUUCUUUUCUCUUUGGCACUCAAGGAGUAUGUUUCAAUCUACCACACAUACAUUUUUCCUGGGGGAAAAAAACCCCUGUACACAGUCAUUUACUUUUUUUGUGUUUGGCUAUCAUGUAGCCCAAGAUGGACUUGAACUUGCUAUGGAGUUAAGGCUGGUCUUGAACUCCUGAUCUUCCUGCCUCUUUUCCAAGUGCAGGGUUACAAUUAACACGCCCACCACUCCUAGCUCCACAUGGCUGUGUUACUUGUGAUUUUAACUUGAGGCUACUCAGCAGUAGAAAAGAAAUGAAGGUUCAAAGAGGUUGGAAGCCGCUGUUGUUUCUCCACGAGCAGUUAUGCUACAAGAUCUUUCACUGGUGGGCUCACCUCAGACUGAAAGUGCAGUGUGAGGGGUGUGAAAAGGGAACUCUGUGCCUCUGUAGGCUUAACUUCUCCAUUGUGUUCAGUGUGUGGAGAACAAAUGAGGCCAAGAGAGAGACCUGACAGCAGCUGAAAGGAAAGAAACAACUGGUGGCUUUGCCAUGAUGAACACCCUGCUUACCUGUGCA